UCGAUUACGUCCCUGCCCUUUGUACACACCGCCCGUCGCUGCCCGGGACUGAGCCAUUUCGAGAAACUUGGGGACUGCUGAUCCGGUGGCUUCGGCCUCCGCUUCGGUGGAAACCAAUUUAAUCGCAGUGGCUUGAACCGGGCAAAAGUCGUAACAAGGUAGCUGUAGGUGAACCUGCUGCUGGAUCAUUACACGUACCGUGAUGG
rnacentral:rRNA from 1 species